rnacentral:rRNA from 1 species
CCUACGGGUGGCAGCAGUGGGGGAUAUUGCACAAUGGGGGAAACCCUGAUGCAGCGACGCCGCGUGUGGGAAGACGGUCCUCUGGAUUGUAAACCACUGUCCCCAGGGACGAAAAAAAUGACGGUACCCAAGGAAUAAGCCCCGGCUAACUACGUGCCAGCAGCCGCGGUAAUACGUAGGGGGCAAGCGUUGUUCGGAAUGACUGGGCGUAAAGGGUGUGUAGGCGGUGUAGCAAGUUAGAAGUGAAAUACCUAGAGCUUAACUCAGGUGCUGCUUCUAAAACUGCUAUACUUGAGUGCAGUAGAGGAAAGUGGAAUUCCUAGUGUAGCGGUGGAAUGCGUAGAUAUUAGGAGGAACAUCAGUGGCGAAGGCGACUUUCUGGACUGUAACUGACGCUGAGGCACGAAAGUGUGGGGAGCAAACAGGAUUAGAUACCCCUGUAGUC